UUUCCGUAGGUGAACCUGCGGAAGGAUCAUUAUUGUAUAACCGAGGUGCGAGGGCUGUCGCUGACCCGAAAGGUCGUGCACGCCCGAGUGCCCUCACACACAUCCAUCUCACCCCUAUGUGCACCACCGCAGGGGUCCCCCUUUGGCUUGUUCGGAGGGGGGCUUACGUUUUCACACAAACUUUGUAUGCAGUGUAGAAUGUAUUUUUUGUUUUUGCGAUCACGCAAUCAAUACAACUUUCAACAACGGAUCUCUUGGCUCUC
rnacentral:misc_RNA from 1 species